GAUUCACGGGGCACAUUUAAGUCUUUUAUCCAUUUUGAGUUUAUUUUUGUGUAUGGUGAUAGCACGAUUCCGCACCUUCAAAUGGUACUUCAUGCUUGGCAGAGGACUAAUGUACUGUAUAAUUUCAUCAUAACAAGAGGAUGUGCCAUGAGGUGAACAUGUGCUGUAGAUGAAAUGGCAUGAGAAAUAAGAAAGCUGCGUAUGACCAAGUGAUAAAGAGACUUUAAUCUGUUUCUUAUCCCCUAUGUGCAUCUUCCUCUCAUUUUCUGCAAAUGUAUGAAAAACAUGCAGUAGUGAGACCUUGUUUUACAUUCUGGAAACCUGGAUUUUUAAGAAAGGGCAAUGGCAGAGCUCCACAGGAACACUGUUUGCCAAGGCAGAAAAGUAAGACGAUGUAAUGAAUGGAGUUCCAGACUUGCCCCAUGCGUUGUGACAGCAGCUCUGAAAGGCUUCAGAGUGGACGUCCAGUUCGGAGAUAAACGCAGCCUCUAGUGCUCCAGAAAAAAAAAAGAAGUAAAGGAUGGAUUUAGUUCUGGACACAGAAGAGCUACUACUGAAUAAAAAGAAGGCAGCUCUACUAGAAGAGCAUCAAAAAAAAUCCAUCAGACUGCAUCAGUAUUGCCAGGUGCAACAUGGCUGUCAGCAACUGAC